GUAUUGUUAGAUACAGUACAUAGCUGAUGAUCAGAUGUUUUAUAUGUAUACUUGAGCUUUGCUGUCCAAACAGUUCAGUAUCGUUAGUUUCGCGAUGCGCAAGAUAACUUUUGGUUGUUGCGAUACACAUUUUGAGUCAGUGUCUUGUAAAAACAAUGACCGUAAUGGAGAUGUAAUAAUGGAGACCGACUAUAAACAUGUGCCUUGCACAGGGAGAAUACUUAGAAAUAAGGAGAAGAACAGACAGAGACCAUGACGGGGUGACAGCAAAAAGAAAACCAAUUCAACCCCCCAAUGAAAGACUACUACUUCUAAAGAAGAAAAAGGCCUUGAUUUGUUGGACUCAGAUGGCCAGAUUGUUCUCAAUAUAAUCUGGCGACAGAUAAGUGUAGGGCAACUCCAGC